rnacentral:rRNA from 1 species
GUAGGUGGCAAGCGUUGUCCGGAAUUAUUGGGCGUAAAGCGCGCGCAGGCGGUUCUUUAAGUCUGAUGUGAAAGCCCACGGGCUCAACCGUGGAGGGUCAUUGGAAACUGGAGAACUUGAGUACAGAAGAGGAAAGCGGAAUUCCACGUGUAGCGGUGAAAUGCGUAGAGAUGUGGAGGAACACCAGUAGCGAAGGCGGCUUUCUGGUCUGUAACUGACGCUGAGGCGCGAAAGCGUGGGGAGCAAACAGGAUUAGAUACCCUGGUAGUCCACGCCGUAAACGAUGAGUGCUAAGUGUUAGGGGGUUUCCGCCCCUUAGUGCUGCAGCUAACGCAUUAAGCACUCCGCCUGGGGAGUACGGCCGCAAGGCUG